rnacentral:tRNA from 1 species
UUGGCUCAGUGGUAGAGUGCUUGCCUUGCAUGCAUGAGGCCGUGGGUUUGAUUCCUCA